GAGAAGGCUCAGGUCAAAGUUCUGGUCUAUGCCAAGGCAACAAGUGUCACAGAGGUCCGUGGUGGGGCAGACCCUAAAGGUCAAGUCCAACUUCCCUCUCUCACUCCUGAGUGAAGAAUGCAUGUUUCCUCCAAAGCCUCGGAUUAAACAUCCAUUGACCUUGUCUAUCCAGUUCUGUUUCCCUAUUCUUCCCAUAGGGGUCGCCCUCCCUCCCCAGACCAUAAGUGGGGCGGGCACCUAUCCCAGGGUGGCCAUGUGACCCAGUCCUAUCCAAUCACUAUGGUCCCGCCUCCUGGAUACCCCAAUUGGUUCAGGGAUGAGCACGUGGCCCAAUGAGAGUCAGCCCUGAGGUUUCUGUGGGAACUGGUGGGAAAGAAUUCUGCUGGAGCAUCUGGAGUUGCUCAAAUGGAGGCCUGCGGCCAUUUUUCCCUCCACGUGUGGAGGAGUCGGCCUGAGAAUGAAAGCAGCACAGGAAAGGUCUGAAAGACAGCACAUUUCACUGGGUCUUACCCCACGUGAGCCCCCACUCGUCCAUAUGGCCCUGUUUUGGACCAGUGAAGCAUCCCCAUCUGUAGUCUUCCAACAUACGGAGCGUCACCACUCCCGAGCAGUGUGACCCCAGGCAAGUAUCUUAACCUCUCUGGGUCCGUUUCUUCAUCUGUAUGAUGCCUACUAAGGUUGUUGUAAGGAUUAAAUGAAUACGUGUAAAGCACUCAAGGCAGGCCCUGGCACAUGGUGAAUCUCAAAUGUUAGCUGCUACUUUAUAAUUAUUAUCCUCACGCACCUCUAGCUUCAGAAGACCAGUUCCGAGGGCAAGAGGCACAGGGAAGAGAAGAACGGCCCACUCUGGGUUACCUUGGGUUUGCCCUCAGUAGGCUUUACUCUCUGAAGACCCGCCUCUUCCCCAAGUGAUUGACACUGGAGUAAUCGCCACAGCACACCCCAGAUGCGACACAGCCUGAGUCAGGCCUUGUGGGAUAAACCCUCCCGAGAACAGGAAGGAAAGACGUGCCUGACUGAGCAGAGAGCUAGAGGUCAGACAACAUGUCCCUACCCUGGGCACUGGCUGCUCAGUCAUUAAAGCAGACCCAAACAGCUUCUGGCCAGGGGCUCAAAGGAACAGCCUAUUAGAGACUCAUUUUACAGUCUCUCUUCCACUGUUGUGUCUCCACAGGUGGGGUUGGGGAAAGACUCAGGGUGGCAAGGACCAGGAUCUACUGCCAAGCCUGUGGGUCCUGUCUCCCUCUGGGAUGCCCCUGGCACUCUGUGCCCAUGGAUGCACUGGGUGACUUGAGGUCAAUGGCUUUCUCUCUCCAGACCUAGGCAGAAAAAGCAAUCUGCUUUGCUUCAGAGAACCUCAAGAGGCUCUUAAUCCUGCUCUUUUCUCCCUCUAGGCUCCCUCUGUGAUGAGCUCAUCUGACCUCCUGGCAACCCCAAAGGGUAGUUUAGAGCAGGGAAUCAGCCUCCCGAUUUACAGAAAGGAUAACUCAGGCCAGGGAAGCGACUUGAACAGGGUCCUGUAGGGACUCAGUGAAGGAGGCUUCGGAACCCAGCCUGUCUUCCAGCAGAGCAGGAAUCAGCAAAUCUGGCUGACCACUUGUUUUUUAUUUGUUUGUUUAUUUAGAGACGGAGUCUUGCUCCUGUUGCCCAGGCUGGCUGAGAUUGCUGCAGUGGCGCAAUCUCAGCUCACUGCAACCUCUGCCUCUCGGGUUCAAGUGAUUCUUGUGCCUCAGCCAUCAGAAUAGCUGGGAUUACACGUGCAUGCCACCGCCUGCCUGAUUUUUUUAAAAAUAAAGUUUUAUUGGAACAAGCCAUGCUCAUUCAUUUACAUAUUGUUCCUGGCUGCUUUCACCAUACAACAACAGAGUCGAGUACAGAUGCUCUUCAAUUCACAAUGGGGUUACUUUUCAGUAAGCCCAUAAACUGACCUGUGGUCCCAGCUAACUUGAGAGGCUGAGUGGGAGAAUAACAAAAGUCUGGGAGAUCGAGGUUGCAGGGAACCCUGAUGGCGCCACUGCACUCCAGCCUGGGUGACAGUGUGAGACCCUGAAUGAGGGUCCUGAGCAGCUGGAACCACACAGGUGCGUGCCACAAUGGGCAGGUAAUUUUUUUAUUUUUAUUUUUUGGAUUUUUUGUAGAGAUUGGGUUUUGCCAUGUUGCCCAGGCUAGUCUUAAACUCCUGGCUUCAAGUGAUCCUCCUACCUUGGCCUCACUAAGUGUUGGGAUUACAGGCAUGAGGCACUGUACCCAGCCCUGAAUUUUUAAUCAACAUGUAAGGGUGUAGCUCAAUGAUUUUUCACCCACUACACACCUGCGUGACUUGCACCUGGAUCAAUAAACAGAACAGCACUAAUCCCAAGUCCCCUUCUGUUGGUAAUAGACGCUCAGUGUUGCAAAGAAAAAUUAGCACUGAGACAAACAAUCUUUCAGCAACGCAAUUUUUACUUCCUGGACUGCAGGAGGAAUACCCUCUCCAGCCAUCUUGCCACGAGAGUACCUUCCUGUCCCGGUCUAGUCAUCGCCCUGCUAAGUGUGGCUGCUACCCUGACUUUACCUGCACCCAUUUCUUUGGCUUAUUUUCGAGCUUCGCAUUCACAGAAUGAUGUAGUAUGUGCUCUUGUGUGUCUAGCUUCUUUCACUCAACACAAUAUUUGUGAGAUUCAACACUGGUGUGUGAGAGCGAAUGCCAUUCAUUCUCAUUGCUGGAAAAACUCCAUGGGGUGAGUGUACUACAAUGUGCUAUCCAUUCUUUGGACAUUUUAGAUAUUUCCAGCCGAUGGGGUGGGGAGAAUUAUAAAUUCUGGAGGAUUGCUUGAGGCCGGGGGUUCAAGGCCAGCCUGGGCAACAUAGCCAAACCCCAUCUCUACAGAAAAAACUUAAAAAUUAACCAAGCAUGUGAUACACACCUCUAGUCCCAACUACCCAGGAGGCUGAGGUGGGAGGAUCACUUGAGCCCAGGAGUUGAAGAGCACAGUGAGCCAAAAUUGUUCCACUGCACUCUAGCCUGGGCAAAAGAACAAGAACUUAUCUUAAAAAAAAAAAGGGAAAAAAGGCCUGGCACAGUGGCUCAUGCUUGUAAAUCCAUCACUUUGGGAGGCCAAGGCAGGCAGAUCACUUGAGGUCAGGAAUUCGAGACCAGCCUGGGCAAUAUGGUGAAACUGUCUCAACUAAAAAUUCAAAAGUUAGCCGAGUGGCCAGGCAUGGUACGCCUGUAAUCCCAGCACUUUGGGAAGCUGGCCAAGGUGGGUGGAUCACCUGAAGUUGGGAGUUCAAGACCAGCCUGGUCAACAUGGUGAAACCCUGUCUCUACUAAAAAUAUAAAAAUUAGCUGGGUAUGUUGGCAGGGGCCUGUAAUCCCAGCUACUCGGGAGGCUGAGGCAGGAGAAUCACUUAAACCCAGGAGGCAGAGGUUGCAGUGAGCCCAGAUUGCGCCACUGCACUCCAGCCUGGGUGACGCAGUGAGACUCUGACUCAAAAAUAAAAAUUCAAAACCCACACCCAUCUAUUUCUUCACCCUUCUGAGCCUCAUGUUUCCUAUGUGUAAGACGAAGGGAACUGUCCCUGACCUGCCCACCUCCCAGGGUUGUGUGGGAACCAAUUAGAUCUGGACCUGUGAGGAAAACUGUACAAACCUUUGAGGGCUGUUCAGUCCUGACACUCUUCUACCCACACCCCCUACAUACAAUUAGGUGCUUGCUGCAGAGGCAGCGGGGUCUCUGGCCAGAAGCGACAUCUGAAGCAAUCAGGAUCCUGUUCGGUUUUUCCGCAUCCGACCUGCCGCCGGGCCAGGGCAAGAGAGCCACGCGCGGCGGAUGCACCGGCCCUGAACUCUUUCCCGAGUAGUCCCCAGAGGUAGCUGCUGCCUUUCAGUUUCUGCACUUGUUUAUUUUCAAAGGGACGUUGCCAGACCGCGAGGCCACCCUGCCCUUUCAUGGUUUGUUUUAUGCAGAUUUCAGGAAGAGAGAGAAGAGGUAAAGGGACCAGAAACAAAGUCUUCUGUGAGCAAGCAACGGCAACAGGCCCAGCUGUUAGGUUUGAGGGGCAUGUGAAGCAGGAGGCUGAACUGCAGAGUUGGGCCAGAGGUCCCCUUGCUGACCCCCCGAACCCCAGGAGCCUUGAGAGUACUGACCGUGUUAACAAUAGCUGCAAAUAUCCCACAUAGGGUGCUAGAAUAACUGGACAUCUGUGUGCCAAACCCAGGAAUGUAGACCUUGCACCUUA